rnacentral:tmRNA from 1 species
GGGGACGUUACGGAUUCGACAGGGGUAGGUCGAGCUUAAGUUGCGAGCCGAGUUGGCGAGCUUCGUAAAAACGCCAUGCCUAUAACUGGCAAAGAAAACAACAACUUCGCUUUAGCAGCGUAACAGUUGCUAGCGGUUCCUCCCUCCAUCGCCCACGUGGUAGGGUAAGGGACUCACUCUAAGUGGGAUACGCCGGUAAUCCGCAGUCUGAGGAGAGCCGGAAGAGAACAAUCGGACUAGUUGCAGGAAUGCCUGUCAGUAGGCUGAACUGCAGCGAAUCGCGAAUAUACUGACUACGCUCGUAGAAGCUUAAGUAACGAUGCCUCUGGACGUGGGUUCGAUUCCCACCGUCUCCACCA